CUACGCACUCCUACGGGAGGCAGCAGUGGGGAAUAUUGCACAAUGGGCGCAAGCCUGAUGCAGCCAUGCCGCGUGUAUGAAGAAGGCCUUCGGGUUGUAAAGUACUUUCAGCAGUGAGGAAGGUGGAUAUGUUAAUAGCAUAUUCAUUUGACGUUAGCUGCAGAAGAAGCACCGGCUAAACUCCGUGCCAGCAGCCGCGGUAAUACGGAGGGUGCGAGCGUUAAUCGGAAUUACUGGGCGUAAAGCGCAUGCAGGUGGUUUGUUAAGUCAGAUGUGAAAGCCCGGGGCUCAACCUCGGAAUUGCAUUUGAAACUGGCAAACUAGAGUACUGUAGAGGGGGUAGAAUUUCAGGUGUAGCGGUGAAAUGCGUAGAGAUCUGAAGGAAUACCGGUGGCGAAGGCGGCCCCCUGGACAGAUACUGACACUCAGAUGCGAAAGCGUGGGGAGCAAACAGGAUUAGAUACCCUGGUAG
rnacentral:rRNA from 1 species